UCUAUAUGUAUUUUCUCUCAGCAAAAAUAAUUGAGAAUAGAAAAAUAAAAAGAAUUUCUUCUGGAAUUUGUCAAAAGGGUGUUGUGUUAUUCUUCAUUCUAAGGAUAAAUAAUGAGGAAUAGAAAGUUAAGAAAAUUUUUUCUGCAAUUUGUCAAAAAAGUGUUGUUCUAUGCUUCGUUUUAAGUGCAAUUGGAAACAGCUAAAUGUUAAUGAUUUGA